GAUGCAGCCAUGCCGCGUGAGUGAUGAAGGCCUUAGGGUUGUAAAGCUCUUUCACCGGUGAAGAUAAUGACGGUAUUCGGAGAAGAAGCCCCGGCUAACUUCGUGCCAGCAGCCGCGGUAAUCCGAAGGGGGCUAGCGUUGUUCGGAAUUACU
rnacentral:rRNA from 1 species